GUGCAAGAGACUGCUCAGAGUCACUUUACUCUGCCUUCGCCUCUUCUCUGCAGAACAUCCACCAUGUUUCUCCUUUGCUGGAUAUCAGUUUUAUUAUCGAUAGGAAAUUCCUUUGCAAACACAAUACAACCUUUAUCCUCUGAAAAGCAUGUUGUCAGAGGUGAAAAAGUGAUUCUUUCCUGCGACUACAGUGGUGAUGUUAACAGUCUGCAGUGGUAUCGUCAAUAUCCUGGAUCUCGACCAGAGUAUCUCAUUCUCGUCACAGAAUAUUCAGAAACUGAUCUUUCACUUCGUCUGUCAGCAAAAGCUUCAAAAGAUCUAAAACAAGUGAAUCUGACAAUCUCCUCUGCUGAAGAAACAGAUUCUGCUCUGUAUUACUGCGCCCUGCAGCCCACAGUGACAGGAAACACAUGAACACUGUACAAAAACCAUUUAUAUACAUAUAAUAAUUCUGAAUUUACAUGUAUUUGAAAGCCUUAACAAUGAAAACUUGC